CCCAAUUUACUUACGCUUGAAUAGACAUAAUUUUUAUUUAUAUAGAGGAAUUAUUUGUCAUCAAACACGGGGGAUGCGCCCGCAGCGUGGCUGCCAGAAGAACGUUACCCCACCGUUGGUGACCGUCUCGGCCUGGUAUGAAGACGGCUAGCGAAAUUCCCAUACGUCACAACGGUUUGAUUUUAGUUUUAAAAUGUUUUCCGCCUACCCAAACAGGUUGUCACCCAGUGAUAAGACCGGUUAUGCUACGAAAUUAACCUUGGUGAAUGGGAUACGUCUUUAUUAAUGACUAGACUAAAUGGCCCAGCCUUCAUAUUCACCUGAUCGAUACACCAGGUCUUUAUUCCCGGGAGAACUUGAAAGCGUACACGUCUCUGGAUGCAUACAGCUAUGCUAGUAGCGGUCAUGUCCAGGACAUACUAUUUCAUGAUGACUAAGUUGAAAACUUUGUAGCGCUGAGGACUGGGGUGCUGCCUAGCCAAAGACGGGGCAAUAAUAUGGAGAUGUACAAGGUCUGGGUUAUUGUGAACAAGAGAAACGACUGUAUUCUGACUGCGAACUGCACCUGCAUGGCUGGCUUGGGGUCAUGCUGCAGGCAUGCUGCUGCACUUAUGCUCAAAGUUGAGCUGUGGGUCAGAUAUGGAAAGACCGAGAAGUCUUGUACCUCAGGGACAAACUAGUGGCUCCUCACAUUCAAAAGAGAGGUGAAGCCAGCCAGACUGAGUGAAAUCUGCACCAGAAAGCCAAAGAGGACAGACACCUAACUGCAACCAGCCAGAAAGGCCAAUGUAAAAGAGCUGAGGGAUGAAGACAUAAAGAAAGUGAAACUACUGGAACCUAAGGCAGCUGUGCUCACUAGCCUGGACUGCAGUGGCACAUACAAGCACCUACAGUCUGCUCCCACUGUGAAAGGCCAGAGAUCAAAAAGAUAACCACCUGUGCAAAGUGCAAGAACCAUUUCCUCUACGAAUGUGCAAAAAUCAAAAGAAAUGUUGUAGAUUGGUAUUGUGAACAGUGCAAAAAAUGAGUGAAACAAAUCAUUUAAUGCAGUAAUAAAUUGGCAUUGCCUGUAGUUGUAGCUUACAUUAAAACAAUUGCAUGUUGAAUUAAUCUCAAUAACAUUUUUUAACAAUAAGUGUACAUCUUGCAAAAAAAAAACAUUGCCUCAUGUCACUGCUGCUGUACCUGCACA